ACUCAAAUGAAUAGACGGGGGCUCACACAAGCGGUGGAGCAUGUUGCUUAAUUCGAAGCAACGCGAAGAACCUUACCUGGGUUUGACAUGGUCGGAUUAGUUCCUGGAAACAGGGAUGACACUCGCAAGAGUGGAACGAUCACAGGUGCUGCAUGGCUGUCGUCAGCUCGUGCUGUGAAGUGUCGGGUUAAGUCCUCUAACGAGCGCAACCCCUGUCGCUAGUUGCCAACACGUCAUGGUGGGGACUCUAGCGAGACUGCCGCUGUAAGGCGGAGGAAGGUGGGGAUGACGUCAAGUCCUCAUGGCCCUUACAUCCAGGGUUGCAAACGUGCUACAAUGGCGCGUACAGAGCGACGCGAGGCCGCAAGGCGGAGCAAAUCGCAAAAAGCGCGCCCCAGUUCGGAUUGCAGGCUGCAACUCGCCUGCAUGAAGUCGGAAUCGCUAGUAAUCGGAGAUCAGCUACGCUCCGGUGAAUACGUUCCUGAGCCUUGUACACACCGCCCGU
rnacentral:rRNA from 1 species